UAAUAAAAGUGUUUUAUGGCACUUUUUAAACAAUCCAUAUCCACCUUGUGUGCAAUGUUUUUUUGAAAGGGUCUCUCUCUCUUGAGUGAGAUGAGGCUUCUUUUCUCUUUAACUUACUCAACUCUUAUUUUUAAUUGCCAUUUGUCUGAAAAAAAUUAUUAUUAUGAAUAACUUAAUUCAAAAUA
rnacentral:misc_RNA from 1 species